rnacentral:rRNA from 1 species
GGCAAAGCUCAAAUUUGAAAUCUGGCUCUUUCAGAGUCCGAGUUGUAAUUUGAAGAAGGUAUCUUUGGGUCUGGCUCUUGUCUAUGUUUCUUGGAACAGAACGUCACAGAGGGUGAGAAUCCCGUGCGAUGAGAUGAUCCAGGCCUAUGUAAAGUUCCUUCGAAGAGUCGAGUUGUUUGGGAAUGCAGCUCUAAGUGGGUGGUAAAUUCCAUCUAAAGCUAAAUAUUGGCGAGAGACCGAUAGCGAACAAGUACAGUGAUGGAAAGAUGAAAAGAACUUUGAAAAGAGAGUGAAAAAGUACGUGAAAUUGUUGAAAGGGAAGGGCUUGAGAUCAGACUUGGUAUUUUGUAUGUUACUUCUUCGGGGGUGGCCUCUACAGUUUAUCGGGCCAGCAUCAGUUUGGGCGGUAGGAGAAUUGCGUUGGAAUGUGGCACGGCUUCGGUUGUGUGUUAUAGCCUUCGUCGAUACUGCCAGCCUAGACUGAGGACUGCGGUUUAUACCUAGGAUGUUGGCAUAAUGAUCUUAAGUCGCCCGUCUUGAAACACGGACCAAGGAGUCUAACGUCUAUGCGAGUGUUUGGGUGUAAAACCCGUACGCGUAAUGAAAGUGAACGUAGGUGGGGGCCCGUAUGGGUGCACCAUCGACCGAUCCUGAUGUCUUCGGAUGGAUUUGAGUAAGAGCAUAGCUGUUGGGACCCGAAAG